rnacentral:rRNA from 1 species
AACGCGAAGAACCUUACCUAGGCUCGAAAUGCUUCGGACCAUCCUUGGAAACAGGGACUUUUCGCAGGAAACCGGAGUAUAGGUGCUGCAUGGCUGUCGUCAGCUCGUGUCGUGAGAUGUUGGGUUAAGUCCCGCAACGAGCGCAACCCACGUCCUGUGUUGCCACCCGCAAGGGGGAACUCGCAGGAGACCGCCAGGGAUAACCUGGAGGAAGGUGUGGAUGACGUCAAGUCCCCAUGGCCUUUAUGUCCAGGGCUACACACGUGCUACAAUGGUCGGUACAAACCGUCGCAAAGCUGCAAAGUGGAGCUAAUCGGAAAAAGCCGGCCUCAGUUCGGAUUGGAGUCUGCAACUCGACUCCAUGAAGCUGGAAUCGCUAGUAAUCGCAGAUCAGAACGCUGCGGUGAAUACGUUCCCGGGCCUUGUACACACCGACGCGUA